AGGGGGCUUCUCCAGCAACCUGGCCCUUUCCUUGCCACAAGCAGACACAAUGUGUCGAGCUCUAAACCUGAACUGGUUUCUUUGUGGAGUACAAGACAUUGUGAUUCCUAAACAGAGUAUGAAAGCUGUUUCCUAUGCCUCAGAAACAGGCCAUUGUAAUGGGGUUUUGAUACUGAUGGUGUCAGUUAAUGUUUUAAAGCUAUUGCAGAUGCUCCCAUGGCUUAAGGACACUUACUCUUGGCUCUCAGCUCAUUUUCUUCAGGUGUCUGAUAGCAGGUUCCUGGCUGAGCUGUGAUGUGACUUCUGGCAGUUGACCUGACAACCUUGGAGCAGUUAAAGACCAACUGCGAGGUGCUCUAAGGGGUCAUGACUCAAAGGCCAGGCGACCUGCAAGCUGGGAAAGCUGGCUUCGCCCAUCUGUCCUUCAACUACCAUGUGCCAGUGACUUUACACCAUGCUGCAGUUCUGAAGCUUUCUGAAUAUCAACUAUACUUCCUCAUCCUUCCCCCCUGCACCAAGAAAUCACAAACGUCCCCACCUUAGAGUUACUUUGUGACUGAUAAUUUCUCAUUUCUAUAUAGGGAAAGCCAAAGUAAGCAGCAGAGCUCAAGAAAGAGCUGAUGGCUCCUAGCGCCAGUGGCUCAGUCUCUCGUACCUCCAGGGACCAUCAUGCCUUGUUAGGAAAAAAGAAAAGGAAAAAAGGACUAUUGUGUGCAGGGAGACUGUCCUGGCUUAGUAGAGAAGAGAGGAGGGGGUCUGGUGCUCACAGGUGACUGAGCAGUCCCCAGCAGAGAGGCACUUCUGCUGUGUGUCAUCCUGGUCCCUAUCAUGGUGCUGUUGGGGUCUGGCCCUUCCUUUGUGUCCUACUGCUGCAGGACGAGGGACUCGCAGUAAAAAUGGGUGUUUAAGCUCCCAAAGUAAUCACAGCCUGUGCCAGCACUUUGUUCUGUCUCAACCUACAUGAAAAAAAAUAUGUAUAUAUAGCAAACCCACCCAAAACACAGCGCUGCCACUGUGGGUCUCAUGAGAUCAGUGUAGUUCAGCAGAGAGGGGACAGAAGCAAAAUCUCCAGUGUCAUUUGAAUUUUUUCACCACCUUUGGUAUCAUUGGGAGAUGCUCACAGUGGAUUUGCCUUAAUAGAUGUGGUGCAAGGAGGCAAAACUCCCAGCUCCUUUCUGCACCCGCCUUUGCUGUGGGCCUGGGAGCUGCUCCCUGCCGGGCUUCUUCCACUGCUUGCCCAGUGGCUGCUUUGCAGGGGCCGGUGGUGGGGUGGCAAGGGACGACCGCUCAGGGAGGCGAACAGAGAGGAAUUUUAUAAGGGGUGAGAAGGAAAAAAACAGUCAUCCAGCUCUGGGCGCUAGCCAGGAGCGAGGGGGAAAGUGGAGCAGGACUGCUCCAGCCGCAGAAGCCUCGCUCCCCGUCUGCUUGCAGCUCAGCCCUGAUGGCCGGGUGUUGGGGAGCUCUGCUCCGAGGGGCGUUGCAGAAAACAUCAACUAAAAAAUAGCUGUGGAUACCCUGGGACCUGUGGGGAAUGGCCAGGCUGGGCUGGGGGCUGUAACGAGAGACCCAGCUGCUUGUUCCUGGUGGCUUGGGUGUCAAUGCGGCAGCCAGGACGCCUGGGUCUUGUCUUAAAUCCAGCCUUGGCACUUCUAGCUUGUCAUCCCUGGCACUGCUUGCCUUGAUGUGGCUUGGCCCCCUGCCCCAAGCUAUCAAGAUGCCUGCAGGUACCGCGCUGGCCUCUCACCGGGCUGCACAUCACUUGCCGAGCUUCCCCAGGGAGUGGAUGACGCUUUGAGCUCUGCAGCUGGAGGACAAGAGCCAUAGUUAAAGCAAGCUGAGGUGUGCUGCAGCACCUGAUGGGCUCCAGAGUGCGUGCCCAAAGUUUAAAUAUUGCAAAUUUAAAAAUGGGAAACAGGUUGCUCUUCUUCCGCCGGGCUAAAUUUUGCUUGAUUUUCUUUUUCCUGGGGUUGCUGGAUAAUUUUCCCCAGGGUUUGCUGGAUAACUUCCCGGGAGCCAGGCCACUCCCUCCAGGUUCUUUCCACUGUGUUUUACCAUUGCCCCGAUCGGCAGACCAGGGUUUUAACUCAUUUUGAAUUUUCAGGGACAGGAGCCCCGUGUCCAAAACACUUCUGAUUUCUCAGUUCUCAGCUCCAGGCAUCUCCUGGAGGCAGAAGGUGGCUGACGGUGCUCAGUCAGUCCCAGACUCAGCUCUGCAGCCUUGGUCAUGGAUGUGGUUAUUUGGGGCUUAUUGCAUCCAGGCCUGCUGUCUCCCUGGUCAGGAUUAUGCUAAAUGGAUGUGAGUUUUUGGACUCGGAGCAGUCCAGCUGUAUUUGCCAACAUCUUGCCAUGAACAGGGUGGGCUUUGCAUCCCCUUACUGCUCCGACGGUUUUAUAGAGUCCUGGCACCACAUUGCUCCUGGGUGCAAUUACUAUUCCCUAAUUGUAAAGCAGAAAAAUCAGCCCAGAAGUGCCUUAUAAUUGAGACAUCUGCCAUCACCAACUUCUCUGAAAAUUAACAUAAAAAUGCCAGAUCUCUCAUAAGAAAGUGUUUAAUACUUUCUGGGACUUGUUGAUACCUGCUGCCAGUGUGAAAAGCCUAAAUGGGUGGCCCAGUACAUUUUUCAGAAUUUAUCCUGAUUGCUGAAAACACCUUGGUUCUUAUCUAGCUGGGAAUGUUUGCCCUGCUUUUAACUCACCAAUUAUUUCUAGAGGGUGAAAAGAACGGGGGGAAGGGGAGGAGGAAAUUGGCAUACGUUGGUCCUCUGUAAAACUAGGGGUUGGAAGGCCACGAAGCACACCAUCCUCAUGCCCUAACAAGUCACAACUCAGUUUUCCCAUUAAAAAAAAUUACUUGCUCUUGUUUCUUUUUUUGCCCUCUGUUUUCAGGGUGUCAGAAUUGGAACGGGACACCUGUUGGUGUUAAAGAAUGAUUGCAUUUUGGAGAGGAGACCCUUGUCUGAAAAACUUGUGUUUCAACUGUCCAAAGAUUUUGCACAGAUUUUACAAGCUCAGAUACGCUAACAUAGAUAUUCCCGGUAAGAAGCCGGAUUGAACCUUUUGCUUUCCUUUGCAACAUGUUUGGGGGUACAUGCUAACUGCUACUACUGAUUGGCAGAAGCUUACAAUUCCUUCACAUCAUCCUGAAACCAAAUUCAGCCUGUUAAAGACAAACAACCCACCAAGCAGCAUUUUUCUAAAAAAGGACACUUUAGGUAUUAUUAUUUUUAAUAAAGCUGCAUAAAGUUAGAUAGGAAAAAAAAAAUCCCUCUUUGGGCUGCUUUGACAACCGCUACCUACUGUCUUUAUUCACUGUGUGUUACAAUGACUGCUAGCUGAUGGGAUUUGAGAGGUUUAAUCAAAUUUAAUUAAAACUGGUGCUCCAUA